rnacentral:rRNA from 1 species
UCCUACGGGGCGCAGCAGUGGGGAAUAUUGCACAAUGGGGGAAACCCUGAUGCAGCAACGCCGCGUGAAGGAAGACGGUUUUCGGAUUGUAAACUUCUGUUCUUAGUGAAGAAAAAUGACGGUAGCUAAGGAGCAAGCCACGGCUAACUACGUGCCGGCAGCCGCGGUAAUACGUAGGUGGCAAGCGUUAUCCGGAUUUAUUGGGUGUAAAGGGCGUGUAGGCGGGAAUGCAAGUCAGAUGUGAAAACUAUGGGCUCAACCCAUAGCCUGCAUUUGAAACUGUAUUUCUUGAGUGCUGGAGAGGC